AUGUUCACUGUUAUAUUCAUGUGUCUGUGGCUUUCACUGGGUGACUCCAUGGCAGAUCCAAUAGAGCCACUUUUUACUCAUAAAGUUGUAGAUGAAGGUGAUGAUGUUACUCUGUCCUGCAGCUACAAAGACUUCAGUGGUGACAUAUAUAAUGUGCAGUGGUACAGGCAAUAUAUGAACUCUAAACCUGAGUAUCUUCUUUAUGUUACUCCAAGUGGAGAUCUAAGUUCCCCCAUCCCCGAUGGAAUGUCUGCUAAAGUUCAUGAAGAUAAACAAGUGGAUCUGAUCAUCUCCUCUGCUGCUGUAUCAGACUCUGCUCUAUACUACUGUGUUUUUCUCCUUGAUGAACACAAAGAUGGUGAACUCAGUUAUCUUAUGAUGGGCCGAAUACUAGAGCAGCAUAUAAACCUGCACAUUCUUUUCACAUACUUUUCACAAUAA